UAAAUAAAAUUCAUUACUGAAAUACGGUACCCUAUCCGAAGUCAGAUCUCACCGUUAGUUGAUGACAGUCUCCUUCAGCCGACACCCGACGACAGUCUCCGUUCUUCAUCAUUGUCUUCCGGUAAUAUUGAAAGAGCAGUCUUUGUGACUGACAGAGACAUGAACAUCCCAUUCCGAUGGCCCAAAAGCCCCAUCACCGUUUAACCAUCUCUCAGGCUUAAACUCCAUACGGUCUCGGCCCCACACUUCCUCCAUCCUCCCCAUCGCGUAGGCCGAAUAAUCAGCAAACCAACCAUUUCCUACGUGGGUCCCGUCUGGCAAAACAUCAUCAUCCACCGUUAAUCUUGAACUGAUCGGUACGGGCGGGAACAGACGCAUUUACUCUGAUGGAGUUGCGUGCAAAUAAUGCAGCUUCUUCGGCUCAUCGUAGCUGAAGAUUCUUGGCCGGAGCUCCGAAGCCGCCAGUGAAGACAACUCUUCUCUUAUCAAAUACCCACAUCGAGGGUGGCAAGCGAUCAGCCAGAAGAAGCAAGUCACGCCGUUGACGUUAAAUAUUUUCCGGAACAAGAUUCAUGAAUCUUGAAGAACAAGUUUCCACAGCGUCAUCAAAAGCUUUCACAAAUUCAGACGAGUUCUGCUUGCAGGAAGAGUUAACACCGAAAGCUACGUUACAUAUGUUUUUGAAGGUGAAAUCUUGCAGCAAUUUUUUAAGAUCAAACACAAUACCGAUCAGAGGCGGCAGAGAGGAACGGAAUGAAGGUGUUAGAGAUUUCUGACUUCACAACUUCGGAAAUGAAGUGUUUGAGUGACCUGGUGUUGAAUUGGUGGCUAGCAUGUAAGACAUGUAUAUGGUCUCAAUCUAUAUAUAUAUAUACACACACACACACACACACCGAGUAUGCAAUAUAGAAAUUAAAUUAAAA